rnacentral:rRNA from 1 species
CGAACGCUGGCGGCGUGCUUAACACAUGCAAGUCGAACGGAAAGGCCCUGCUUUUGUGGGGUGCUCGAGUGGCGAACGGGUGAGUAACACGUGAGUAACCUGCCCUUGACUUUGGGAUAACUUCAGGAACCUGGGGCUAAUACCGGAUAGGAGCUCCUGCUGCAUGGUGGGGGUUGGAAAGUUUCGGCGGUUGGGGAUGGACUCGCGGCUUAUCAGCUUGUUGGUGGGGUAGUGGCUUACCAAGGCUUUGACGGGUAGCCGGCCUGAGAGGGUGACCGGCCACAUUGGGACUGAGAUACGGCCCAGACUCCUACGGGAGGCAGCAGUGGGGAAUAUUGCACAAUGGGCGGAAGCCUGAUGCAGCAACGCCGCGUGCGGGAUGACGGCCUUCGGGUUGUAAACCGCUUUCGCCUGUGACGAAGCGUGAGUGACGGUAAUGGGUAAAGAAGCACCGGCUAACUACGUG